UAGGGAAUCUUCCGCAAUGGACGCAAGUCUGACGGAGCAACGCCGCGUGAGUGAAGAAGGUCUUCGGAUCGUAAAGCUCUGUUGUUAGAGAAGAACAGCGCAUAGAGUAACUGUUAUGCGUGUGACGGUGUCUAACCAGAAAGCCACGGCUAACUACGUGCCAGCAGCCGCGGUAAUACGUAGGUGGCGAGCGUUGUCCGGAUUUAUUGGGCGUAAAGGGAGUGUAGGCGGUCUUUUAAGUCUGAUGUGAAAGCCCACGGCUCAACCGUGGAGGGUCAUUGGAAACUGGGAGACUUGAGUGCAGAAGAGGAGAGCGGAAUUCCAUGUGUAGCGGUGAAAUGCGUAGAUAUAUGGAGGAACACCAGUGGCGAAGGCGGCUCUCUGGUCUGUAACUGACGCUGAGGCUCGAAAGCGUGGGGAGCAAACAGGAUUAGAUACCCUGGUAGUCCACGCCGUAAACGAUGAGUGCUAAGUGUUGGAGGGGUUCCACCCUUCAGUGCUGGAGUUAACGCAAUAAGCACUCCGCCUGGGGAGUACGGCCGCAAGGCUG
rnacentral:rRNA from 1 species